rnacentral:rRNA from 1 species
GAUGAACGCUAGCGGGAGGCCUAACACAUGCAAGCCGAGCGGUAUUGUUUCUUCGGAAAUGAGAGAGCGACGUACGGGUGCGGAACACGUGUGCAACCUGCCUUUAUCUGGGGGAUAGCCUUUCGAAAGGAAGAUUAAUACUCCAUAAUAUAUUGAACGGCAUCGUUUGAUAUUGAAAGCUCCGGCGGAUAGAGAUGGGCACGCGCAAGAUUAGCUAGUUGGUGAGGUAACGGCUCACCAAGGCAAUGAUCUUUAGGGGGCCUGAGAGGGUGAUCCCCCACACUGGCACUGAGACACGGACCAGACUCCUACGGGAGGCAGCAGUGAGGAAUAUUGGUCAAUGGGUGCAAGCCUUAACCAGCCAUCCCGCGUGAAGGACGACUGCCCUAUGGGUUGUAAACUUCUUUUGUAUAGGGAUAAACCUACCCUCGUGAGGGUAGCUGGAGGUACUAUACGAAUAAGCACCGGCUAACUCCGUGCCAGCAGCCGCCGUAACAC